CUCGCACGCACCGGUCACGUUCUCGUCUUCUCCGGGUGGCAGUCAUGUGAGACCUGUUUCCGUCUCGCCUGAAGAACAGUGAAGAACAUGCGCGAGACAGUGCCCAGCGCAGUGCCAUUCACAUCCCUGGCAUUACCUGGGCAGUGACAAAGCCUCCGAAGACACAGGUGUGACAGAGGAAAGGUAAAAGACAUAUGACUUUCAAAGACACUGUAGCCUUGUCGCGUGAUAAAGGAGGACUUUAGUUAUCCUUGUUACUCUUGAAGGUCAACCUUGACCACCUGAGACUAGAUAAUAAGGGGGGAAAUAAGCUCAUAAAAGAGAGAAAGAGAGAAAGAAA